AUCCAACAGGUCUUUACGAUGUGUGUCAUGGCAGUAAUGCAUCAUCAUCGAUACCAACUACUGUGAAACCUCAAAGAAGAAGAAGAAAAUGGUCACAUGACCAGAGCUGUUUACUUCCUGGUUGCACCAUGAGAAGAGGAUGGCUGCAUCAAAGCUCCCAAACAAAAGAGUGAAAACAAGUCCUCCAGUUGCCGGUGACCCACUUGCCUCCAGCACCACGAGGAAGAGAACUGGAGGAGUAGGAGAAAAAGGGCGGGGGAGGAGGUAGAGGAAAGCAGGCAGGACUCUUUCCAGAUAAAUCAGCAGGGAGUCGAUCAUCAGUCGUCCCGCUUUGAUCCUCCCUGAGGAUCGAUGGCAUCAGCGCUGGCCUCCUCCUCGUAACAAACGAGGGCGGGGGGAUGGUUCGAUCCCCGUUCUUUUGAAUCUUAGCAAAGCUUUGGACACCGCUCACAGUCACAUAUCAGAGAAAAUAAACCUACAAACACUGCAGCUCAGGAGUGAGUUUUUUUUAAAUUACUGC